UACAGAGGGUGCGAGCGUUAAUCGGAAUUACUGGGCGUAAAGCGCGCGUAGGCGGCUUUGCAAGUCGGGUGUGAAAUCCCCAGGCUUAACCUGGGAACUGCAUUCGAGACUGCAUUGCUAGAGUAUGGGAGAGGGAAGUGGAAUUUCCGGUGUAGCGGUGAAAUGCGUAGAUAUCGGAAGGAACAUCAGUGGCGAAAGCGACUUCCUGGACCAAUACUGACGCUCAUGUGCGAAAGCGCGGGGAGCAAACAGG
rnacentral:rRNA from 1 species